rnacentral:rRNA from 1 species
UGGGGAAUAUUGGGCAAUGGGCGCAAGCCUGACCCAGCAACGCCGCGUGAAGGAAGAAGGCUUUCGGGUUGUAAACUUCUUUUCUCAGGGACGAAGCAAGUGACGGUACCUGAGGAAUAAGCCACGGCUAACUACGUGCCAGCAGCCGCGGUAAUACGUAGGUGGCAAGCGUUAUCCGGAUUUACUGGGUGUAAAGGGCGUGUAGGCGGGGAGGCAAGUCAGAUGUGAAAACCACGGGCUCAACCUGUGGCCUCAUUUGAAACUGUUUUUCUUGAGUACUGGAGAGGCAGACGGAAUUCCUAGUGUAGCGGUGAAAUGCGUAGAUAUUAGGAGGAACACCAGUGGCGAAGGCGGUCUGCUGGACAGCAACUGACGCUGAGGCGCGAAAGCGUGGGGAGCAAACAGGAUUAGAUACC